UUCGGUGCUUUGAGCGGCUUGGAACCACCUCUUCCCAUUUCGAACAGAGAAGUGAAACUGGCCAGCGCCGAUGGUACUUAGUCCUUGAAGACUAGGAAGAGUAGGUCAGUGCCGAAA
rnacentral:rRNA from 1 species